GACGAACGCUGGCGGCGUGCUUAACACAUGCAAGUCGAGCGGUAAGGCCCUUUCGGGGGUACGACGAGCGGCGAACGGGUGAGUAACACGUGGGUGACCUGCCCUCAGCUCUGGGAUAAGCCUGGGAAACCGGGUCUAAUACUGGAUAUGACUCCAUGACGCAUGUUGUGGGGUGGAAAGCCUUGUGCGGCUGAGGAUGGGCCCGCGGCCUAUCAGCUUGUUGGUGGGGGAUGGCCUACCAAGGCGACGACGGGUAGCCGGCCUGAGAGGGCGACCGGCCACACUGGGACUGAGACACGGCCCAGACUCCUACGGGAGGGCAGCAGUGGGGAAUCUUGCGCAAUGGGCGAAAGCCUGACGCAGCGACGCCGCGUGAGGGAUGACGGCCUGGUGUAAC
rnacentral:rRNA from 1 species